AUCCUUCUACGAGUUCUUCCACCU
rnacentral:siRNA from 1 species